rnacentral:rRNA from 1 species
AGCAGCCGCGGUAAUUCCAGCUCCAAUAGCGUAUAUUAAAGUUGUUGCAGUUAAAAAGCUCGUAGUUGAAUUUCGGGGUCAGCAGGUUGGUCGUGCCUCUGGUAUGCACUGGUUUCGCUGAUUCCUCCUUUCUGAAGAACUGUAAUGUCAUUAAUUUGGUGUUGCAGGGAAACAGGACUGUUACUUUGAAAAAAUUAGAGUGUUUAAAGCAGGCUAACGCUUGAAUACAUUAGCAUGGAAUAAUGAAAUAGGACGUUUGAUCCUAUUUUGUUGGUUUCUAGGAUUGACGUAAUGAUUAAUAGGGAUAGUUGGGGGCAUUAGUAUUCAAUUGUCAGAGGUGAAAUUCUUGGAUUUAUUGAAGACUAACUACUGCGAAAGCAUUUGCCAAGGAUGUUUUCAUUAAUCAAGAACGAAAGUUAGGGGAUCGAAGACGAUCAGAUACCGUCGUAGUCUUAACCAUAAACUAUGCCGACUAGGGAUCGGAUAAUGUUAAUUUUUUAAUGACUCA